rnacentral:misc_RNA from 1 species
UUCACGUGUAACGGUUGUGUGUUGAUGCGCAGCUGCGGGCCGUAAAGGCGUUUGUUGUUGAGUGGAAAGUUGUUGUCGUUGUGCCGGUUCUUCUGGGGAAGCUGUUCGCGCGCUGAUUCGAGAUUUUUGUUGUCGUUGAAGCUUUUUGGAGCUCUCUGUGGGGACGCGAAGGGUGUUGUGGCGCGCGCUGUCCAGGUUGUGGCGGCGGGUGUAAAUUUUUGUGUGUUCGGUGGACAUCCGAGUCGCGAAGAAGUGAAAGAGAGAGAGAGAGGGAGAAAGGUGUGUGUGUAGUACAACUGGGGCCUGUCCGCGCCCAAAAACAUCCCAGGAAGAUUUCACUCGCGGAGGUCUCCAAAGUGUUUGGUGGUUGUUGUUGUGGUGUUGCGUCCUAGAAAGAGUUCAACAGGUUAUCCGCGCACAGCAGUCUUGAGGAUUACUACAGCCGAGAAGGGAAUCACUGGCGGUGACCGGACCGUCAAGCGAGUUUCAGCAAAGCUUAAGAACAAUCGCCAGCGUCCAGUCGAGAAAAGAUCCACGUCCGCGGAUGUUCUGAAACAGUUGAGCAAACUUUCUUAACGAAGUGUAUUCUUGUUCCGGAAACGUCACGUCACUUCCGCUGCUACCGAGGGGGGGAAAAAAAGCAGAAAGAAAAAGGAUUUUCCGCUGCCGGCAAGCGAACAAUCAAAUACGAAUAAAUCUGCUGGUGGGUUUGGAGAAAGUGGUGAGCGGAAUUGCACUUUUUUAUCGCUAGAUUUUUUUUUCUGCUGCAAAGUUUCAGCGAAACUAAAAUUGCAAAGUGAACCAGACGUUGAGGAAGAAAUUAAAACUAAAUAAAAGCGAAAUAAAAAGAAUAUAAGGAACGGCCGUCUGAAGUGUGCCUGUUGGAAGUCAAGUGUCGGUUGGAGAAGAAAAAAAAAGUGGAAACUAGCCGGGGUUCUGUUUGAAGGUGAAGUGUAUUGAAUUAAGUUUUGCGAUUUAUUGGAAGAUCCUGAGAAGGGAGAAAAAAUCGUUGAAAUUUUUACACCGAGCUCAACUUACAGCACACAAGUGAAAACUCUCCCUUUUGGCUCGGCCAUAAUCGAUAGCCCAUGUGCAGUGGAAAGUGACAGGUGACACUCACGUCAGCAAUAGUCAGUUGCAGCAGCGAGUCAAACGCGCCGUGGCUUAGACGGAGACCUCCCGGAGACGGUAGCUCUAGAGUCGUGAUGUUAAAGUGAAGAUUAUCCUUACCCCAGCUGACAUCUUAAAGAUUUGCAACACAACUGAUAAGAUUUCGCUGAACCCACAACGACACACCCACUCAUUUCGCACGACGGGAGAACUCACCUUUUCGCAGCACGCAGCAUAAAUCUUUAGCAUGAGUUCCUACCGGCGCUCGGCAGUGCUCGACGGGACCACAAAUGCCAGCGGUACAAGUGUCAUAAUUUACCACCAACACAACGGCACCGACAAUCACAUUGUCUAGCACGGAGAAAACAACAAGAAGAAGCAGCAAAAUAUCAGCCAUAGUGAGAGUGAUUUGCGCGGUUUUUUUUUCUUAAGCUGUAAAUAGUUUGUACAAAAGUGAAGAAACAAAAACAACAGCCCGGGUGUACAUAAUCCGUUUUAGUCGCACUUGCUGGACCAGAAGCAGCCCCGUUUGGUUGAUGUUGAUUGAAGCCCGUGAACACACGACAAAGUUUCAAUCCGCCGCUAGUACUACCGUGUAGAAUCCGAUCCGGGAGAAAUUCACGGGAAAAAAGUUACCACUAGUCGAAUCAGAGUUGCAAAAGUUUUAUGCAACCCUGCAACCCCGGGGAAAAAGAGUAAAGUGAAGCUGAGUGAAAAAUUAAUGAGUAAAGUUGUGUGAUUUGUGCUAGCCAAAGUGCAACGAAAGGGAAAAAUUGUUGCAAACGUGUUGCAAGGUUACGAAAAAUCGAGCUUGAUAGAGUUUACAACUCGAGUACGGAGUUGUUUGACAAGGAAAAGUUGAAGCGACAAAGGUUUAACGAUAAACAAGUUGUUGUAAUCAGAUAAAAAGGAUUCACAAUGGAGACCGAGGAAAUCAUCAAACUGGUCGACGGAAUUUAUAAGAAUAUCCUCGAGAAGUUCAACCCCGGAGCGCGACAGCUGAUCAGCGCCGGCAAAGCGUACCUGAAGGCACUCCAUGGAGCGUCGGCGGCUUCCAACCUGUUCAACGAGGCCCUGGCCAAGAUUGCGGUCAACGCGCAGCAAGGCGGCACCAUUGAUAUCGGUUCCGCCCUGAUGAACAUCGUCGGAGUCUACAAAGAGAUCCAGGACCAGCACAUGAACAUUCUUAAAGCGUUCUACGUGGACCUGCUGGUGCCGCUGGAGACAAACCUGGAGAAGGACACCAAGGUGGUGCAGUUCGAGCAGAAGAAGUUUCUGCAGCAGCACAAGCUUCGCUCGGACGGUUACAGCAAGGCGGCGACCACGAUGAAGAAGUACCGCAAGAAGAACUCCAAGAGUUCGGCCAAGGACGCCGAGAAGGAGAUCAAGAGCAUCCAGACGUUCGAGGAGGAGAAGCACAAGCUGGACCAGUUCUGCGAGUACAGCUUGAAGAACGCGAUGACGCAGGAGCGGCGCCGGUACGGGUUUGUGCUGGAGCGGCAGUGCUCGCUGGCGAAACACUGGAUGGCGUACCACCACUCGGGACAUCUGAUCAUCGAAAAGUCACUGGAAAACUGGAACGACGUUGCCGCUACGAGGGAAUUUUUGCCACCGAACGUUGAGAACAUGUUUAUUACUAAGCAGCUGAAGGAUAUGGAAGACGAUGACGACGAUGCGCAGUCGAUUGCGUCGCAACUCCGCAAGACCCGGUCGAUCGACGCUUCCUGUCUGGACAUGCGAUCGCUGGGCGAUGUGGUGAACAGUUCGAUGAUGCAGAUGCCCCGUGCCAAGUCGGAGUUUAACCUGAACAACAGCAGUGCCACCAGCGUUAGCACCCUCGUCGGGGUUGGCGUCCCGGGAGGACACAUGAUGAGUGCCACGCUGAAGAGCUCGGACACUAGCCAGUGGGAACGCCCGACGGUUAAGGCCUUGUACGCGUACUUGUCAUCCGGGGAGAAUCAGUUGAGCUUCCUGGAAGGCGACCGGAUCGCGCUGGUUGGGGAUCGUGCCAAGGGUUGGCAGUUUGGUGAGAACCUGCGAACGCAGAAGUUUGGCUGGUUCCCGAUUGCGUACGCCGAGAAUGAACGUGAUAACGACAAAGAGAGCAUCAGCGAAUGGGUCAAAGCGCCGCCCAGUGAGAUCGAAGUCGACAACACGCCCGACUCGUCGCUCGAGUCCACCCUGGUAGACGACAGCCUGUCCAAAAGUGCCAACUCGUACCCCCCGGAGGAGGUCUCCCCGACGCGCAUGUUCGGCGACACCAUCCAGUACCGCCAGUCCAAGCAGUUCCGCCGACUGUCGCGCGGAGAAAAGCCACCCAAGCCGGGCCCACCACCACAGCUCCCGGCCCCCGUCCCCACCCCGGUCGUGCCAAACUACAGCAAGCCCCAGGGCAUCCCCCAGUCCAACAGCUUCUCCUCGUCCGGCGGAGCGCCGAUGGUCGAGAAGCGCAAGACUCCGUCCGCUACGAUCAACUUUAACAAGCCGCAGUCGGCCAGCAAGCCGUCGAAAGCGUCCCGCAACGGAAUCGCCAGUGCCUCGCUGCACAGCAGCAACGACAGCGGCUUCUCGAACGAGCCGCAGCCCCAGCCGGAGGUGGAGAUGUACUCGGACGAGGAAACCGUCAAUCGGGUGCCGAUAAGGUCGUCCCGCUCGGAGAAGAACCUCUCGUCGCCGCGCUCCAACGAACGUGACUUGAGCGACCAUCGGUACCGUUACAACAGCCGCGGCGGCGGCGGCGGCGAUCCGUCCAUGAUGCCCGACGACGACGACGACAUCUACGGCACGAUCGUUCCACCGCGCCGUCAGCACAUGCGCCAGGCGAACAGCUUCGGCAACAUCGCAGACAGCAACGCGGGAACGCUGGAGUACGGGUACCGGUCGCGGACGCGAAUGUCCGAGGGUCACCCGAACGGUGGUCCGAAUCAGAGCGACUCGCAGAAGAUCAAGCGCACCAAGUCGUUCUGGAAGUUCUCCAAGUCGCAGGAUCAUAUUCUGGAGGGGAUGGCCAUGUGGAAGCACAACGACAUCAUUCCUACCGGUCGGGAGAAGCGCGAAAUGGAGAAGAAGGAGGCGACGCUGAAGCGGAACAUGCGCAAGAAGGAGCAGAUCGAGAAGCAGAAGCAGAAGGAGAUGAUCGCGGUGAAGGAGGCGGAGGAAGCGGCUGCUCGGAAGAAGGAGCAGCAGAUGAGACAGAUGGGUGCGAUGGAGAGCGGAACGCUGAUGAGGAAUCGGGAGAGGGAGCGAGAGCGGGAUCACGACAGGGCUGAGCGGGAGCACCGCGAGAGACCGCACAGCAUUGCGAUGAUGCCGGAGCAGGAAAAGUUUCCGAUCACCAAGUCGGACAUUGACAAGCGGAUUUCCAAGCUGGACGAGAUGCAGCAGCAGCAGCAACAGCAGAAGAAGGUUAGUCAGCCGAGGCAGGAACGCCAGGAACGGAUGGAGAGACAAGAUCGCCAGGAUAGACACGAGCGACAGGAUCGGCAGGAGCGUCAGGAGCGGCACGAGCGACAAGACAGACAAGAUCGAGCGGAGCGAAUGGACAGACACGAUCGCCAGGACAGGCAAGACCGUCAUGAGCGUGAUCGCCGCCACGAAGAGUCCGACCGCAAGCCGUCCAAGUCAAGCAAGCAGCAGCAACAGGAUAGCAACAACAACCGAAACAGCUACGUCAACAGGUUGGAGCAGGAGGAGCAAAUCUACGGAGAGUCGAUGCAACAGCAGGUGAAGGGCAAGGACAAGUACCGUACCAGCGAGCGGGAAAGCAGCAAGAACCGGAACAACGAUGCGCUGAACAAGUACUACCAGGAUCAGCACUUUGACGACUUUGCGAUCAUCCCGAGCGACUCGAUCAUGAUCCAGGACACGAGCUUCUACGACGACGAUGGCAUGAUGGACGACGACAUGAUGCUGAUGAAGACGGUACGCCGAAAGGAGAUCCUCAAGCAGUACUACUCCAGCGGUACCGACACCGAGCGCAACUCGUCCAGCUCCGACGCGUAUGACUGCAUCGUGGUGGACGAUCACCUUGUUUCCGCCGCCGACAUGAUGAUGAGGAAAAAUCGAGGAGACAAGAGCCGCUCCGAAGCUCGCAAGUCCAACGGCGAGUCCUCCAACAACCGCAUGGAAAACACCCCCAAGCAAGAGGAAAAAAUGACCUUCUCGACGUUCCGUGGCACCGCCGUCGACGACGACGAAGCCAUGAUGAUGCUCGAGGACGAAAUGAUGGACGAACCGCCGCGGGAUAGCCGUCGCUCGAAGCUGUCCAAAGCGAACAGCACCGGCGCGAUGCACAUGGACAAGUACGAGUCGGAGCAGGAGUCGCGCAUCAGCGCCAAGGUGACCAACAACGGCAACCAGAAGCGCAAGUCAACCAAGUCGACGGCAUCGGACGGGAAGGCGUACGGGCCGUGGUACGACCUGUGGGGCGCCGAGGGGUCCACGAUGCAGAGUCAGAAGUAGGGAUGAUCAGCACCCACGUACACCAUCAUCGACACCAUAAAACCCCGUCCCCUAAGGUUAGUCAAUCUUUAUCGCUGGCGUAAAGAUUGAGUUUAAUCAGCUUGCAAUAGUAUUUCCAGGAGCUUUUCUACAACAGUCGCGUUACGGAUCCGUUUGAGCGCUAGGUUGCGUGGAAGAGCUGAAUUAAAGUUUUGCCAUCUAGGUGUGAACGCCACGUUGCAAUCGGCAGUGGUGAAUAUAAACAUUCCGUGGUGAGUUUCCAAUCGUUCAAAUUGACCGUUGAAUUGUUGAUCAAAGUUAUUCAAAGAAAUUUAUUUAUUUUCAAAGAAAUCUUAUGACUUUUAAGCAAAACUUUAAUUUGACUUUCAAACGCAACUGAGUGUAAAUGUAAUUCAUAGAAGGACACGAAGCAGUAACACUAAAGUGUCGACACAGACAAGAGACACACACACAUCAGAGACAAGUUAAACAGCCGGAAGCAAUCGAAUCGGUGACCCUGCAGAAAAGUGCAAACCAGCAACUCCAACCCAACUCAACAACCCUGACAACCCCGAUAUGAACUUUAAUGCGCUCAAUUUUUACACAACAUUUAGGUUAGGUUUAUUGUGUAUGAUUCUCUUUUUAAGUUUUCUAGCUAUAAGCGACUAAACCUUAUUGUUACAAUCACCGUUGAGUUUGUUUUUAGAGACUUUAUUUACACCUCUUUUGUUUGCCCUUUACACUUAAACUCCAUUUUUGAAAAGGAUCGAUUCCGAAUCGACUAGCGAAGUUUGGUGCUCACAUACUGUUUUUGAAGAAAAAAGAGUAGAUUCUAGUUUUACUAUUGUUACGGAAAUUAUCAACCAUUAUAAAGUUUAGGCAAAUUAUGACUUCUUUUCGGUUGCGGACUUCUAUUGUUAACUCUUUACUUCUCAUCAUUUUGAUUUUAUCUUUCCCACUUUAGGCUUAAGUUACAACUCAUGUUAGUCAAUAUCUGUAACGCCUUUCGAACGGGUAGCCCCCCAAAAAAUCGUAUGAACGCCGUAUUCUAGUUUUACCAUUACCAACAUAAGUGAGAAACCACUAGCGUAAGAGCAGAGUAUUUUUGAGUAUUAUUUUCUAGGGACAGAAACUUUACUUUUAAACCACGUGAGGAUGGAACCUGUUAUAAACACGAACUAAUGUGCCAAUAAAGAAGAGAGAAUCGAACGCAUUGUCGAAACGCCUACGGGUAGGCAACCGUGUAUCGCGAGCUUACCAACACCACUUAACACCAACUUACCACCCGGACACAAGAGGAAGAGAUUUCACGUUUUGAGUUUCGUUUUGUAUUUUUUCGUUUAACGCGAGAAGGUAAAAUCGUUGGUUUACAGUUAUAGUUUAGCGGUUAAGAAAGUUUAGGUUAAGAAAAAGUUAGCAUAGUUUUAACCCAUUACAGUUUAUCAUUUUGUUGCUUUGUAAAUUUGAGUGUUUUUCUUUUCAUUCUUUGUUUUACAGUAGAUUUAAGAUUUCUCUACAGAGUUGAUUUGUUUCUACCACAUAAUUUAUGUAUGAUUUGUACAACGAAUAUUGAUUGUAAUUAACCGAUAUUGGAAAUAAAGUUAUUUUACCCCCAAA